rnacentral:rRNA from 1 species
GAGUUUGAUCGUGGCUCAGGAUGAACGCUAGCGGCAGGCCUAACACAUGCAAGUCGAGGGGUAGAGUUAGCUUGCUAACUUGAGACCGGCGCACGGGUGCGUAACGCGUAUGCAAUCUACCUUGUACAGGGGGAUAGCCCAGAGAAAUUUGGACUAAUACCCCAUAGCGUUAUGAUGUGGCAUCACAUUAUAACUAAAGUUCCAACGGUACAAGAUGAGCAUGCGUCCCAUUAGCUAGUUGGUGUGGUAACGGCAUACCAAGGCAAUGAUGGGUAGGGGUCCUGAGAGGGAGAUCCCCCACACUGGUACUGAGACACGGACCAGACUCCUACGGGAGGCAGCAGUGAGGAAUAUUGGUCAAUGGGCGCAAGCCUGAACCAGCCAUGCCGCGUGCAGGAUGACGGUCCUAUGGAUUGUAAACUGCUUUUGUACGGGAAGAAACACUCCUACGUGUAGGAACUUGACGGUACCGUAAGAAUAAGGAUCGGCUAACUCCGUGCCAGCAG